GAAAACUGUACAGCUGAUGGGAGAUGCCUGCAAGGGAAACCUCUGCUGGGCUGAACACGAGUUGAUCAGUGUGAUGCAAACUGAAUAAGAACACAGACCAAAUACACCAGUGCCAGUCAUUUUCCUAAGGGCUGUUGGAGUGUAUGGACAACACACCUGAGAGAAGGAAGAGUUCAGCUUGAGGUACUCUGAUGAGGCAAAUGGAGCAAUGGAAUAUCUCAACAGAGGAAGAGGGAAAGAGCUAACAGUGGAGGAGCUGUGGUGCUACCAAGGCAUUCAUUUACAAGGUGUGUAUUUGCCAGCAGUUAUAGUCAAUAGACUUCAUAAGUUGCAGGUUUGCUUUUUCCCCAGAGGAAGAAAAAAGUACUUUGUACCAGUACAGCUGAGUUAUACACAUAGAGGCUCUAUAAAAAUAUACUUGAAUUUAAACUAUGUAGCAUAGAACAAGUCAGGAAGAUGGGAUGUAUAUGACAAAUAUUUGUUAUUUAGUAAACUCUUGUACAUGUAUCGCUGAAUACCAGUAACCAUGCAGUACAUAUUUCAGUCUGUAGGAUCCUUUAUUUUAUUUAAGAAAUACUAAGAGACAGGUAUAGUAAAAGCUGUGUAAAAGUUGUGUUCUGUUUUUGCAGAAAACAAAAAUAUGUUCCUUGCCCAGCACUGCAGGAUAGACAGAUAUAGGCAAAAAAUUUUCUAUAGACAAAAAUUUCUGUGGCAUCCCUUCUUCAGAAUGGUUUAUUUACA
rnacentral:lncRNA from 1 species